rnacentral:rRNA from 1 species
UAGUAAGUGCUUAAGGGCGCAU